ensembl:lncRNA
GUUAGUUCAAUCACUCCAUCUGUUCUCCGCCCGCAACAGGAAAUUGAUGGAAAGUCCUUGCUCCUGAUGCAGCGUAGUGACGUGUUAACUGGCCUGUCCAUCAGACUUGGGCCCGCCUUAAAGAUCUACGAGCGCCACGUGAAGAUGCUGCAGAGGACCCACUUCCUGGAUGAGGAGGAUGAUCUCUGACCACGGUUGGGGGAAACAGAACAACACACUCCUCUGAGGAGCAGAUGUAUUCAAACAGUAUACACACAUACUGUGUUCACUGGAUGUCUAGAACCUUCUGUAACCAUUCAAUGAGGUGUGGGGAAAAGGACACCGUGGUCAUGACUUGGGCCUUGACAGUGAUUAUCAACGUGUGUACGUGGGCUUCCAUUCCACCUCUCUGUGGUACUGCUGUCACCUGACCCAUUCUGGUGGUAUUGCUUUUAUAGGACCCCUCUCUAAACUCACAUAGGAAUGUUAGGAUCCUGCCUAAUGACGCUAUAGAAGUCAAGUGGAGGUCUGCCUGUUCUGUAAGGGGAGGUCUGCCUGUUCUGUAAGGGGAGGUCUGCCUGUUCUCUAAGGGGAGGUCUGCCUGUUCUCUAAGGGGAGGUCUGCCUGUUCUCUAAGGGGAGGUCUGCCUGUUCUCUAAGGGGAGGUCUGCCUGUUCUGUAAGGGGAGGUCUGCCUGUUCUGUAAGGGGAGAUCUGCCUGUUCUGUAAGGGGAGGUCUGCCUGUUCUGUAAGGGGAGGUCUGCCUGUUCUCUAAGGGGAGGUCUGCCUGUUCUCUAAGGGGAGGUCUGCCUGUUCUCUAAGGGGAGGUCUGCCUGUUCUCUAAGGGGAGGUCUGCCUGUUCUCUA